CCCCUGUUGUGGGUCAUCAAC
rnacentral:misc_RNA from 1 species